UACGUAGGGUCCGAGCGUUGUCCGGAAUUAUUGGGCGUAAAGGGCUCGUAGGCGGUCUGUCACGUCGGGAGUGAAAACUCAGGGCUUAACCCUGAGCCUGCUUCCGAUACGGGCAGACUAGAGGUAUGCAGGGGAGAACGGAAUUCCUGGUGUAGCGGUGAAAUGCGCAGAUAUCAGGAGGAACACCGGUGGCGAAGGCGGCUUUCUGGACGACAACUGACGCUGAGACGCGAAAGCGUGGGGAGCAAACAGG
rnacentral:rRNA from 1 species